rnacentral:rRNA from 1 species
UUCCGGNUGAUCCNGCCGGAGGNNACUGCUUUCGGUGUUCGACUAAGCCAUGCAAGUCAUAUGUUCCUCGUGAACAUGGCAUACUGCUCAGUAACACGUGGAUAACCUGCCCUUGGGUCUGGGAUAACCCCGGGAAACUGGGGAUAAUAUCGGAUAACGCAUAUGUGCUGGAAUGCUUUAUGCGUAAAACGGAUUCGUCCGCCCAAGGAUGGGUCUGCGGCCUAUCAGGUAGUAGUGGGUGUAAUGUACCUACUAGCCAACAACGGGUACGGGUUGUGAGAGCAAGAGCCCGGAGAUGGAUUCUGAGACAUGAAUCCAGGCCCUACGGGGCGCAGCAGGCGCGAAAACUUUACAAUGCGGGAAACCGUGAUAAGGGAACACCGAGUGCCAGCAUCAUAUGCUGGCUGUCCAGGUGUGUAAACUACAUCUGUUAGCAAGGGCCGGGCAAGACCGGUGCCAGCCGCCGCGGUAACACCGGCGGCCCGAGUGGUGACCGUUAUUAUUGGGUCUAAAGGGUCCGUAGCCGGUUUGGUCAGUCCUCCGGGAAAUCUGAUAGCUUA